GAACUGUGAUCUGCUUUUACUGUACAGAUACGUCCAAGCCUAGUAAACUACAACUCCCAGGUUGCAUAGUGAGACUGUUUUCAUCGAUUUGUUUUUCAACCCCGGCCAAACCGGUGUGUUAGUUAUAGUCACGCGUACGUUAUAUUCUAAAUGGUCAUCAUUUACCUGUUUUAAAUUGACGAAUCGCGUAUAAUGGCCGAGGGCAGUGGUAAUGUAGUAAACCUUACGCCCGGAGACCCACAGGUCAUAGGCCUCAUUGUUGACCAUCUGAAGAGCCGUGGCCUGUUCGACGAGUUCCGCAGAGAUUGUCUAGCCGAUGUCGAUACAAAACCAGCCUAUCAGAAUCUCAGGCAAAAGGUUGAUAACUUUGUGUCCACGCACCUGGACAAUCAGGAGUGGAACCCGAACAUUAACAAGAACCAAGUGCGCAAUGGACUGAGGCAGAGUGUCAUCCAGUCAGGCAUGCUUGAGGCUGGAGUGGACAGAAUCAUUACUCAGGUGGUGGAUCCCAAACUUAAUCACAUUUUCAGGCCCCACAUAGAGAACGCCAUUCAUGAUUUCUUGGCUGCCGAGAAGAAGGAGGAGGCAGUGCCAGCUCCAAAUGCAGAGCCUGAGAAGCAGGAGCCGCUCCCCACCACUCCGAGUACACCAUGAGGUCAGGCACCUCCGCAUUUCAGAAGCGACACCAAAGAGGGUAGGGCUGUGUACGGCAGACUACUGAUGAUGCUGUAACAUAUUUAUGGAUUUGUAUCUUUUCUGCAGUUGUCAUUUCUGAUAACCCGAAACAAUAGCCGCUGUAUCAUAGACAGUCGUGUCUAUGCAGUUUAUGGAGAAGAGCAACUGGUGUAAAAGAUGCACUAAAAUUACCCAGAAAAAAUUCAAUCGCCUGUAAACUAAUGUUUGAUAUUGUUAAACAGGGUUUUGGUGACUGCUAAAACACUUAUGAUAGACAGUGAAAAAAGCACAGUACAUUUUUAAAGGUUAUUUUAUUACAGCUUAGAAAGCCUGUGCUAUCAAGCAUUUUUGCAGAUGUUUAAAGGGUUUACUCAGACUUUCUAACCCUAAUUUUUUGCUGCUACAUGGAAAAUUGCACUUAACUUUAAUACUGUCCCUCAAUUGGAAAAAUAUAAUACUGUAGCCAAAUAGUUUAUGCAGUGGCCUUAAAAUGUGUAAGAAUCUGGCCAGCUGUGUGUGUGUGUUUUUUUUUUUUUUUCCUUUGUUUUUUUAAUGCCUUUGGUGUUAUAGGAUUUUUUUGUUUUGUAGAAGUUCAGUUUGUAAAAUUUGAAUACAUCUAGGAAACAAAGAACAAUGUCGACAUUUUUGACCGACAUCACUGUUUGGGAUUUUGAAGCGUAAAACAGCAAUGGCAUGGACGUGAUGUAAAUAACACAUACACAUUUUGGACCAUAUGAUUCUCAUAAAAAUCAAAGUUUGCAUUUAAAAUCUAAUAUUUCAGCCUGUGUGCUAUUUGGUGGUUGUUGGGAUGUUUUGUAUUACAGAAGUGGAAGAAUCAUUCAGAUCUGGGGUGCAGCUGCCAGCAAACCCAUCCUGUGUGGUCCACAGAAAGCUCAAAGCUUCUCAUGUGUAGCAUGAGGGCCAUUUGAGGUCAUUACUGCAUGUCUGGUGCUCAGUUCUCAGUAUAGGCAAUGGGUUAAUCUGCUGUAAAGUGUUUUCUAUGACUUUAAAGCCUUGGUCAAUAUUGAUCACAACAAUGUAAAUUCUUAUGUACAUUAUUGUGAGAAAGAAACAAACUCCUUUUAUAGUAAAACAUUUAUUUCAAAGUAAUAAAUGUAAUGGUAAAUGAAACAGCUUCAUUGUUGCAUAUCUGGUACAAUUACCAAAAAACUGGUGUGUAGUAGGUUUGGAAAUUUUAAAUAAAAACAUGAGUACACUAGCUUGGAGUACUCAAAUACAGGCAG